CUGGGAAGUUUGCUUUGAAUUUCACGUUAAACCCAGGGUUAAGCUACCCGGCUUUUGAACAACCGGCCCCAGACCAUCAUAUCUUGAUAGACCAUGCUGCUACCUUAGAAAGUUGUGGAGAACUAUUUCUCACAUCUGUGUCUCAAAGUCAAAGUUAAGAAUGUUAUUUAACGUAUAGUCACAGUCCACUAGAAACAAAUUCAGGAUAGUCCACUUGUCUUACUGCUUUCGAUUCUUUCGUUCUGUGUUACGUUUUUUGCUGCUUCUUCGCUUUCUCUGGUACACCUCGCAACACGAGCGGAAACACGAGGAGUGCAUGGAACAUUUUCUGAUCAUUUGUUUACGAAAUCUGAUUGCUUUCCUAGAAUUGUCAUCCUCUUUUUUCCUCAAGUUGCAGUAGUAACCUUUCUUUGCCGCCUUUCGACCACGUUUACAGCACAGUUUCGCCUCGCUGCUCUCUUUCGCGCAUUUCUUUUGACGGAUUUUGUGAACUGACAUUCGCUUGCCUGUGAAAAAACGUUA
rnacentral:lncRNA from 1 species